rnacentral:rRNA from 1 species
GAGAGUAACUGUUCAUACGUUGACGGUAUUUAACCAGAAAGUCACGGCUAACUACGUGCCAGCAGCCGCGUUAAUACGUAGGUGGCCAGCGUUAUCCGGAUUUAUUGGGCGUAAGGAGAGUGCAGGCGGUUUUCUUAGUCUGAUGUGAAAGCCUUCGCCUUAACCGGAGAAGUGCAUCCGAACUGGAUAACUUGAGUGCAGAAGAGGGUAGUGGAACUCCAUGUGUAGCGGUGGAAUGCGUAGAUAUAUGGAAGAACACCAGUGGCGAAGGCGGCUACCUGGUCUGCAACUGACGCUGAGACUCGAAAGCAUGGGUAGCGAACAGGAUUAGAUACCCUGGUAGUCCAUGCCGUAAACGAUGAGUGCUAGGUGUUGGAGGGUUUCCGCCCUUCAGUGCCGGAGCUAACGCAUUAAGCACUCCGCCUGGGGAGUACGACCGCAAGGUUGAAACUCAAAGGAAUUGACGGGGGCCCGCACAAGCGGUGGAGCAUGUGGUUUAAUUCGAAGCUACGCGAAGAACCUUACCAGGUCUUGACAUCUUGCGCCAACCCUAGAGAUAGGGCGUUUCCUUCGGGAACGCAAUGACAGGUGGUGCAUGGUCGUCGUCAGCUCGUGUCGUGAGAUGUUGGGUUAAGUCCCGCAACGAGCGCAACCCUUGUUACUAGUUGCCAGCAUUAAGUUGGGCACUCUAGUGAGACUGCCGGUGACAAACCGGAGGAAGGUGGGGACGACGUCAGAUCAUCAUGCCCCUUAUGACCUGGGCUACACACGUGCUACAAUGGACGGUACAACGAGUCGCGAACUCGCGAGGGCAAGCAAAUCUCUUAAAACCGUUCUCAGUUCGGACUGCAGGCUGCAACUCGCCUGCACGAAGUCGGAAUCGCUAGUAAUCGCGGAUCAGCAUGCCGCGGUGAAUACGUUCCCGGGCCUUGUACACACCGCCCGUCACACCAUGAG